rnacentral:rRNA from 1 species
UUAAAUUGAAGAGUUUGAUCAUGGCUCAGAUUGAACGCUGGCGGCAGGCCUAACACAUGCAAGUCGAACGGUAACAGGAAGCAGCUUGCUGCUUCGCUGACGAGUGGCGGACGGGUGAGUAAUGUCUGGGAAACUGCCUGAUGGAGGGGGAUAACUACUGGAAACGGUAGCUAAUACCGCAUAACGUCGCAAGACCAAAGAGGGGGACCUUCGGGCCUCUUGCCAUCGGAUGUGCCCAGAUGGGAUUAGCUAGUAGGUGGGGUAACGGCUC